rnacentral:misc_RNA from 1 species
AACGCAUCUUGCGCUCCAUGGUAUUCCGUGGAGCAUGCCUGUUUGAGUGUCACGUCAACCCUCGUUCAUGUGAUGUUACAAUCGCAUGAAUGGAUUUGGACCGUGUCGUAAUCGACUCGUCCUGAAAUGCAUUAGCUUGCGCUUUUAGAGUGCUGGGCACCGGUGUGAUAAUUAUCUGCGCCAACGCCUUUAGCCUCUUCAGUUGUGCUGCUUACAGUCGUCCUUUGACGGACAAUUAUUUUAAAGCUUUGGCCUCAAAUCAGGUAGGACUACCCGCUGAACUUAA